rnacentral:lncRNA from 1 species
GGAAAAAAGCCUCACCCAAGGGCUUCAAUUCUCAUCUGUGUUCAUGGGAAAAUCCAACUUCUUACAUUCUCUGCUGGGUCCCCAGGGCACAGCCUGGAGACCAGCCUCUGUCACAGUCACGGCCACCUGCUGCCCUAGGACACGGGACAGGGGCUGAAUCUCCCGCAGCGCAGCUCCUGCCCCCAGCGCAGCGACACUGGGGUGCAUCUGCAGAGGAGCGGAGCCUGCAUCUUCCUGUCUCUGGCCGAUGAGCGCCUGACGGCUCUGACCGCACUUGUUUCGUUUAGUGAUUCUGUUCCCUCGCCUUAGUGAUUAGGAUCCACGAUUCAGCUGGGUGGUUCCUGUCAGCUCAGCCUUGGUCGUGAAUUCCCUUGGAGCUGUCAGAGAGUCGAGCAUCAGAGCUGCCUGUCAGUCAGCCGGUCAGCUGGUCAGCCAGUCUACAAACCCAACGGCUGUCCCGCCUGCGCCACAUCUACCCACCUGCCCAUCACUGAGUGGGUUGGGAAGGGGAGUCCUGAGCUGGUGCCCUGCCUGUCUACAGGGAGAGAUCCUCAGCUCCUGCUUCUCAGCAUCCCUCGGUCAGAGCCUGCAGUGACCUCUACAGUGUUCAGGGUGUGUGUGACCCCAGCACACCCGCGCCACCCACUGCAUCACCCCUUACACAUGUGCAUGUCGCAUGGGAUCAGGUGUGCAUGUCCUAUGGUCUGUCACACCAGGCAUGCCGAGGAAAUGCACCACAGCACACAUUUGUGCUGCACAGGUGCCUGCUUCCUGUGUGUGUGAUGUAGCGUGCCCUGGGUGGGGAGUGUGUGGUUGUGUGCACAUCCCUGUGUGGUUUCUAGGAGUCCAUGGCACAUGGCUUACAGCAGAUCAUGCCUCUUCUUUCCUUUAUGUAUCCUUUCCCUCUCUCCCUCCCCCACUUCCUUCCUUCCUUUCUUUUUUGAGACAGUGUCUCAUUCUGUUGCCCAUGCUGGAGUGCCGUGGUCAUGGCUCACUAUAAUCCUGAACUCCUGGGCUCAAGUGAUCCUCCCAC